UACGGGGGGGGCAAGCGUUGUUCGGAAUUACUGGGCGUAAAGGGCUCGUAGGCGGCCAACUAAGUCGGACGUGAAAUCCCUCGGCUUAACCGGGGAACUGCGUCCGAUACUGGAUGGCUUGAGUUCGGGAGAGGGAUGCGGAAUUCCUGGUGUAGCGGUGAAAUGCGUAGAUAUCAGGAGGAACACCUGUGGCGAAAGCGGCUCACUGGACCAUAACUGACGCUGAUGCACGAAAGCUAGGGGAGCAAACAGG
rnacentral:rRNA from 1 species